rnacentral:lncRNA from 1 species
UGCUGAAUACAACAGGUGUAGUAGACCUCACAGUGAAAUGCUGAAUACAACAGGUGUAGUAGACCUCACAGUGAAAUGCUGAAUACAACAGGUGUAGUAGACCUCACAGUGAAAUGCUGAAUACAACAGGUGUAGUAGACCUUACAGUGAAAUGCUGAAUACAACAGGUGUAGUAGACCUCACAGUGAAAUGCUGAAUACAACUGGUGUAGUAGACCUCACAGUGAAAUGCUGAAUACAACAGGUGUAGUAGACCUCACAGUGAAAUGCUGAAUACAACAGGUGUAGACCUCACAGUGAAAUGCUGAAUACAACAGGUGUAGUAGACCUCACAGUG